AUUGGUGAAAGCCACUCGCUAUCUGCUGCAUUUCUUGGCGACCCCACCCUCCAACUAUUGCAGAAUCUUCCUCUGUAAUCUCAUCUCCAUUUUAUACUAUCAAAUCUUUGAAAAGGUUGAUUCUGCCUCAUAAAAUAACUUGUAGUUUGUCAUUUCUCCUUCUUAAUGUUUGGUUUAAAUGGAUUCAACGAACUUGCCAAACAAGAUUGUGGCUCGAAUUAUGCUCUGAAACGUCAUAUUCUUCUGUUUUUUUAUCUCUUUGUUCAUCAAUGAUUCGAACCCAGAUGAAAUUUCUGGCCAAAUGUUCGAGUUCUUCUUCGAUUUCCCCUUCCCUUGUGGUUCUUUAAUCGUUUCAUGCCCUUUCAUGGCGACCCAUUAGCCAUUUUUGGCAGUUUUGAGUGUUCUUGGUUUAGUUUUUGGAUAUGGCGAUUCGAGGGAUCGAUUUCAAAUGGUACGAUGGAUUCUUCUUGUCAAUGCUUGCUACUAGCAUAAUAAUUGUGACUAUCAAUUGGAGGCGGUAGAAUACAUGUAGAUAUCCGUUGCACGUAUGGAUCGUGGUUGAUUAUACCUCUGUGUUUGCUUUUCGCCUUUUGCUGUUCAUAGAUAAUGCACUUUCAGCUGGAAUGGGAUUGGAGGCAGUGGUGUAUUUCAGAUUUGGUGCCUUGAGUUGUGGUUCUUUCUAUUCUCUCUAUAUUGCUCUACCCGUUUUUAUGUACGUGGACUAUAAUCGGUACCCUAUGGUUUCGAGACGCUUAAGACUGUGAUCGUGGUAUGCCGUGUGCUCACAACUUCCACGUCGAGUGCCGCUCCUCCGUCUUCCCAAAUCUCGACCUCAAUGCUCUUUCUAACCUGCGCUUGGACACAGAACAAACAUCUGCCAAUUGACUUUCAGCCACUCAUUUCGACAGCGUCUUAGAUGCAGUGGAGAACGGUAGCUCGACUGUGCCAUCUGCUUCUCGACAUUGAUCGUGUACAGACUGAACCCGCUUUUUUUGUCACUAAAACUUCUCAGCUCCUUCAACCCCAGAGACCUUUCCAUCAUAGAUCCUGCAUAAUCAGUAACCCUCAUAUUCAUCUCACAUUAGUUGGAGAGAGGAACGAAGCAAUCCUUAUUAAGGUGUGAAGACACGUUUUAAAAUUGUUAGGCUGACAGCAAUCCAUAAUGACCCAAAAUAGACAAUAUCUGUUAGCGGUGGACUUGGGCUGUUACACGUCUAUAGUUCUACGGUAAACCCGAUGCAGGUUUCGAAGAAGGGGAAGAGGACAGAUUUGCAGAGUGAGUCAACUUUUUGUUAGGUUUCCAAAGAUGGUUAUAAAAUGCUUAUGAACUCUGACAGUGACCUUCAAAGCUUGAGUCAUGGAGGAAACAAGAGUUCACGUGGGUUUCUUCCAUUAGCCCAUGUUCAUAGCUCGUGGUUCGUACAGAUUCUUCACUACCUGACAAACAUUCCCCGCCUUCUCUUGUUCUUUUCUCAAGUUUAGAACAUUAAUCAUAUACAUUUUUACCGGCUUAAAUGCCCGUUGUCAUAAGCGUGGCACUCGUGGUUCAUAUCAAAUCGAUCGUGAUCUCAUUUUGUUUGUGAGGAAAUUGGAAUAGAACUCGAUCAUGACUUGUUUGACUUAGACCAGGCUUGUCAUGAAAAUAGUGAGGUCUGAUCUCAAUUCAUACCGAUCGUAAUCUCAUUUUGUUUGUAAGGAAACUAGAGUGAAACUCGAUCAUGACUUGUUUGACUCGGAACAGACUUGUCAUGAGAAUAGUGAGGUUUGAUCUCAACUCGAACAGUUAUCGUAA